AGAGUUUGAUCCUGGCUCAGGAUGAACGCUGGCGGCGUGCUUAACACAUGCAAGUCGAACGAAACACCUUAUUUGAUUUUCUUCGGAACUGAAGAUUUGGUGAUUGAGUGGCGGACGGGUGAGUAACGCGUGGGUAACCUGCCCUGUACAGGGGGAUAACAGUCAGAAAUGACUGCUAAUACCGCAUAAGACCACAGCACCGCAUGGUACAGUGUGAAAAACUCCGGUGGUGUGAGAUGGAUCCGCGUCUGAUUAGGUAGUUGGUGAGGUAACGGCCCACCAAGCCGACGAUCAGUAGCCGACCUGAGAGGGUGAUCGGCCACACUGGGACUGAGACACGGCCCAAACUCCUACGGGAGGCAGCAGUGGGGAAUAUUGCACAAUGGGCGAAAGCCUGAUGCAGCAACGCCGCGUGAGUGAAGAAGUAUUUCGGUAUGUAAACUUCUAUCAGCAGGGAAGAAAAUGACGGUACUUGACUAAGAAGC
rnacentral:rRNA from 1 species